AUGAACGCUGGCGGCGUGCCUAAUACAUGCAAGUCGAGCGAACAGAUGAGGAGCUUGCUCCUCUGACGUUAGCGGCGGACGGGUGAGUAACACGUGGAUAACCUACCUAUAAGACUGGGAUAACUUCGGGAAACCGGAGCUAAUACCGGAUAAUAUAUUGAACCGCAUGGUUCAAUAGUGAAAGACGGUUUUGCUGUCACUUAUAGAUGGAUCCGCGCCGCAUUAGCUAGUUGGUAAGGUAACGGCUUACCAAGGCGACGAUGCGUAGCCGACCUGAGAGGGUGAUCGGCCACACUGGAACUGAGACACGGUCCAGACUCCUACGGGAGGCAGCAGUAGGGAAUCUUCCGCAAUGGGCGAAAGCCUGACGGAGCAACGCCGCGUGAGUGAUGAAGGUCUUCGGAUCGUAAAACUCUGUUAUUAGGGAAGAGCAAAUGUGUAAGUAACUAUGCACGUCUUGACGGUACCUAAUCAGAAAGCCACGGCUAACUACGUG
rnacentral:rRNA from 1 species